rnacentral:rRNA from 1 species
UACGUAGGGUGCGAGCGUUAAUCGGAAUUACUGGGCGUAAAGCGUGCGCAGGCGGUUCGUUGUGUCGGCGGUGAAAGCCCCGGGCUCAACCUGGGAAUGGCCGUUGAAACUGGCGAACUGGAGUGUGGCAGAGGGGGGUGGAAUUCCCAGUGUAGAGGUGAAAUUCGUAGAUAUUGGGAAGAACACCGGUGGCGAAGGCGGCUCUCUGGACCGAUACUGACGCUGAGGCGCGAAAGCGUGGGGAGCAAACAGG